rnacentral:rRNA from 1 species
GACGAACGCUGGCGGCGUGCUUAACACAUGCAAGUCGAACGGAAAGGCCCUGCUUUUGUGGGGUGCUCGAGUGGCGAACGGGUGAGUAACACGUGAGUAACCUGCCCUUGACUUUGGGAUAACUUCAGGAAACUGGGGCUAAUACCGGAUAGGAGCUCCUGCUGCAUGGUGGGGGUUGGAAAGUUUCGGCGGUUGGGGAUGGACUCGCGGCUUAUCAGCUUGUUGGUGGGGUAGUGGCUUACCAAGGGUUUGACGGGUAGCCGGCCUGGGAGGGUGAACGGCCACAAUGGGACUGAGGUACGGACCAGACUCCUACGGGAGGCAGCAGUGGGGAAUAUUGCACAAUGGGCGGAAGCCUGAUGCAGCAACGCCGCGUGCGGGAUGACGGCCUUCGGGUUGUAAACCGCUUUCGCCUGUGACGAAGCGUGAGUGACGGUAAUGGGUAAAGAAGCACCGGCUAACUACGUG